rnacentral:rRNA from 1 species
AGUGAACGCUGGCGGUAGGCCUAACACAUGCAAGUCGAACGGCAGCACAGUAAGAGCUUGCUCUUACGGGUGGCGAGUGGCGGACGGGUGAGGAAUACAUCGGAAUCUACUUUUUCGUGGGGGAUAACGUAGGGAAACUUACGCUAAUACCGCAUACGACCUACGGGUGAAAGCAGGGGAUCUUCGGACCUUGCGCGAUUGAAUGAGCCGAUGUCGGAUUAGCUAGUUGGCGGGGUAAAGGCCCACCAAGGCGACGAUCCGUAGCUGGUCUGAGAGGAUGAUCAGCCACACUGGAACUGAGACACGGUCCAGACUCCUACGGGAGGCAGCAGUGGGGAAUAUUGGACAAUGGGCGCAAGCCUGAUACAGCCAUACCGCGUGGGUGAAGAAGGCCUUCGGGUUGUAAAGCCCUUUUGUUGGGAAAGAAAAGCAGCAGGUUAAUACCCCGCUGUUCUGACGGUACCCAAAGAAUAAGCACCGGCUAACUUC